AGCUUGCUCCUCUGACGUUAGCGGCGGACGGGUGAGUAACACGUGGAUAACCUACCUAUAAGACUGGGAUAACUUCGGGAAACCGGAGCUAAUACCGGAUAAUAUAUUGAACCGCAUGGUUCAAUAGUGAAAGACGGUUUUGCUGUCACUUAUAGAUGGAUCCGCGCCGCAUUAGCUAGUUGGUAAGGUAACGGCUUACCAAGGCAACGAUGCGUAGCCGACCUGAGAGGGUGAUCGGCCACACUGGAACUGAGACACGGUCCAGACUCAUACGGGAGGCAGCAGUAGGGAAUCUUCCGCAAUGGGCGAAAGCCUGACGGAGCAACGCCGCGUGAGUGAUGAAGGUCUUCGGAUCGUAAAACUCUGUUAUUAGGGAAGAACAAAUGUGUAAGUAACUAUGCACGUCUUGACGGUACCUAAUCAGAAAGCCACGGCUAACUACGUGCCAGCAGCCGCGGUAAUACGUAGGUGGCAAGCGUUAUCCGGAAUUAUUGGGCGUAAAGCGCGCGUAGGCGGUUUUUUAAGUCUGAUGUGAAAGCCCACGGCUCAACCGUGGAGGGUCAUUGGAAACUGGAAAACUUGAGUGCAGAAGAGGAAAGUGGAAUUCCAUGUGUAGCGGUGAAAUGCGCAGAGAUAUGGAGGAACACCAGUGGCGAAGGCGACUUUCUGGUCUGUAACUGACGCUGAUGUGCGAAAGCGUGGGGAUCAAACAGGAUUAGAUACCCUGG
rnacentral:rRNA from 1 species